UCUCCUGGUCCUCAAGGACAGGGCUGUUUUUUACUCAUCUGAACGUCCCCAAGGCAGCAGCCAAUACCUGAAACAUGAUGUAGAUUCUACAGAUGUUUACUGAAAACCACCAAGCAUGGAGGCUGGCAUCAAAUGAACCUUCACAACUGUUUGGAGACACUCAGGCUGCACAGCUCCAAGGACAAGCUGCCCAUCAUGGAGUGGAUUUCCCUGGAAACUGCUAGUGAAUUGGAGCUCAGUCAAAGGCUGACAUACCAUGAGCUGUUUGCAAUAUGAGGACCCUAAAUCCCGCUCAUUCUUCA